rnacentral:rRNA from 1 species
AUGGAGCAAUUGGAGAAGAGGAUGGAUGCUGCUGAACAACAAAUCAAAGAGCUGCGUGAAGAUCUUAAUAGGAGAUUUGACCAGCUGGUUGAGAUGAUAAGAAAGGGUGUCCCCCCUGCUACCAAUGAAGGAGAUUCAUCUAAAGAAGAGGAAGAUGUUCAUCAAGGAAGGAGAGGUAAUCUUGGAGCAAGACCGCCACGACAACAUGUUGUUCAACGUGCUUCAAGAAGGCCAAUUUAUGUUGAGGCUUCUGAAGGUGAAGAAUAUGAUGAUGCCCUUGAAGAGCCAAAUCUCUACGCAUAUCGGAGAGCACCCAACCCUACGUAUGCAAGAGAUACAUACAAGGUGAAAGCUGAGAUCCCAAGUUUUAAUGGAAAUGUUGACAUUGAAGGGUGCCUGGAUUGGUUAUAUGAAGUGGAGACUUUCUUUGAGGUCAUGGAGGUUCCGGAAGAUCGUAGAGUUCCUUUGGUCGCAUACAAACUGAAAGGAGGAGCCGGUGCAUGGUGGCAUCGCGUUCAAGAGGAGCGCAGACUCAGAGGAGAACCUCGUGUUAGAACUUGGCGACAAAUGAAAGGCCUCUUGAAAGGGAGAUUUUUGCCCGCUGAUUAUGACCAGAUCCUAUUUAUCCAAUUUCAAAAUUGUGCUCAAGGAAAUAGGACUGUUUCAGAUUACAUGGAGGAGUUUCUAAGGCUACAAGUGAGGUGCAACCUUGCUGAAACUGAAGAGCAACAAGUUGCAAGGUACAUCAAUGGUCUCAAUGAUGCUAUUCAAGAUCGAUUGAUGAUGCAACAAAUCUGGUCCGUUGAUCAAGCACAAGCUCUAGCCUUAAAGGCCGAGAGGUUUGUGAGGAUGAGAAAGACAACUAAGGCUCCAUAUCCUCCAUAUCCUCAUACCGAAGGCUCAUCUAGGAGCCAACCUAAUAGAGUGGAAGAAAAGACCACUCCACCAAAGACAAAACAGCCCAUCCCGAAGCAAACUAGAGGCAAGGGUAAGGCAAAUGAAGGCCCAAAGUGCUAUAAAUGUGGUAAAGAGGGACACAUAUCCAGCGGCUGCCCACUAAGGAAAUUUGUUAACACGACUAUCCAUGAUGGUGAAAGCGAUGAGGAAGAAUACGAAUCUGAAGAUGUAGACGGACAAGAGGUUUGUCAAGAAGAAGGUGAAGAGGUGGUAUGUGUGAUCCAGCGUGUCCUAUGUUCCACACCACAACUCGAUGACACACAACGGAAGAAAAUAUUUGAGAGCAAAUGCACGGUGAAUGACAAGGUAUGCAAACUAGUGAUUGAUAGUUGCAGCUGCGAGAAUCUUAUCUCCCAGAAGUUGGUGGACCAUUUAAAGCUUGAAACCCAUGAUCAUCCAAAUCCCUACACUAUUGGAUGGAUCAAGAAAGGAGUGAAUAUGAGGAUCACCAAACAAUGCAACCUGCCACUUUCUUUGGGUAAGCAUUAUCGCUUAAAUGUGUUGUGUGAUGUGGUUGACAUGGAUGCCAGCCAUGUUCUUCUUGGGAGGCCUUGGCAAUUUGAUGUGGAUACUACACACAAGGGCAAGGAAAAUUCUUACUCUUUCAUUUGGAACAAGAGAAGGAUCAUUAUCUUACCAAACAAACCCGAAGGUAAUACCUCUAAGGAGGAGGGGAAAACUAUGUUAACUAUCUCCCAUACCUCUCAUGAGUUUAUGGAAGACUUGAAGGAGGCACAUUUGUGUGAUGCACUUGUUGUAAAGGGAGAAGAGCACCUGACUGUUGAAAUUCCAGCAAAGGUACGUGGUUUAUUGGCAGAAUUUCAGAACAUACUUGGGGAGCCACAUGGCUUGCCACCGAUGAGAGGAAUUCAACAUAGAAUUGACUUAAUUCCGGGAGCAAGUCUUCCUAAUCUUCCACAAUAUCGAAUGAGCCCAAAGGAGCAUGGUAUAUUGAAGGAGAAAGUGGAGGAAUUGUUGCAAAAGGGGCACAUUCGAGAAAGUAUUAGCCCAUGUGCUGUACCAGCCCUACUCGCGCCAAAGAAAGAUGGAUCUUGGCGCAUGUGUACGGACAGUAGAGCCGUUAACAAGAUCACCGUAAGGUAUAGAUUCCCUAUUCCUCGUCUGGAUGAUAUGUUGGAUCAGCUUAGUGGAGCAAGAGUGUUCACAAAGCUAGAUUUAAGAAGUGGAUAUCAUCAAAUCCGUAUAAGACCCGGGGAUGAAUGGAAGACCGCCUUCAAGACAAAGGAAGGGUUGUUUGAAUGGCUAGUCAUGCCAUUUGGACUCUCAAAUGCACCAAGUACCUUUAUGCACUUAAUGAAUCAAGUCCUUAGACCCUUCUUAUCCCACUUUGUUGUGGUCUAUUUCGAUGACAUCUUGAUCUAUAACAAGGAUGAGGAUGAACACUUUGAUCACAUUCGGAAGGUGCUAGAAGUACUAAGGGAAAAUGAGCUCUACGUCAACUUGAAGAAAUGUGUUUUCCUGCAAACACAACUUCUUUUCCUAGGAUUCGUCAUAACAUGUGACGGCAUUCGUGUUGAUGAUUCUAAGGUUGAAGCAAUCCGAGAAUGGCCAACUCCUAAGACCAUUUCUGAGGUAAGAAGCUUUCAUGGCCUUGCAACUUUCUAUAGGCGAUUUGUUAAGAAUUUCAGCACUAUCAUGGCACCAAUUACCGAGUGUUUGAAGAAAGGAAAGUUCCAAUGGGCAGAAGCAGCUGAAGCUAGCUUCAAUGAGAUUAAACAAAAGCUAUCACAAGCUCCUGUCUUGGUACUACCUGAUUUCAACAAGACUUUUGAGUUGGAGUGUGAUGCAAGUGAGUAG